AGCAGAGACCAAUUGGCCACUGAGAUUUCUCAUGAAUGCCCCUUCGCUUGGUUUUCGGGCUGGAGGAGCUGUGUAGGAGCUGCUGUGCUGGUUGCAAGCCAGAAGGCUAUCUCCUUGCACUGGGGUGAUCCUUCCUUGGCUGGGUCUUCUGGCCUCCGGCUGUUUGCACUGUGAGGAUGGCACAAAGCAGCCUUACUUCAGGGAAGGAUUGGGGCCCGGGCCUUAUCUCACUUUGAUUAUAUUAAAUAAUCUAUCUGUCUGCCACGUUAUUUACAUAACUCUUAUUUAAAUAGUUUUACAUCAGACACACUGAAUCAUGAGACUGAAAGUCUAGACGAUGCUUGCUCGGCUCAGCCUGCCUUUAACCCUCCUGCAUUGCCAUUUUUCUUGUCUCUCCCUUCAGGAUUACCCUGCUCUGUGCUCUGCGUUUGGUCCUGGCGGGACAUAAGCUGUGCCUGGUGGUCCCAGGAAUUAAGAGUGAGCAAAUUUAAAUUGCGGAAGGGAGAGAUAAAUUCUUGGACUUAAUUCAGCAGGCAUCGAUGCAAUUUGCUAAAGCACAAGUUCGUGGAUCCCAUGACAGCAAGAUGAAGCAGAGAAGAAGACAGUGUGUUCAUAAAUGGAAGAGCAACGCAGCGCUGUAGUGUGCUUACACAGUGCUCUGCGCCUGUGAAUGCAUCCCGAGGUAUUUUACACAGACAGUACCUUCUUUUACUGGGCUUGCAACAGAAGUGCUUUACACCUCUGAGGAGAGGAAACCUUAACGACAUGCCUGCGAAGCGAGGGAGUCUGAAGGCGAGCGUCAUGUCACGCCUUAUCAUUGCAUCAGGCCCCAGAGACAUUCCUGAGGUCCAGACCUGGAGCGUGACCUCCCUCGACCCGACCCAUCAGCGCUCAGAGGUACUUUUCUGCUGCUGCGACCUCCACAUCUCUACGAAUUUCUACAGCAUUUAAAAUAGGGUAUGAAGAAUGGACAAUCCAUUUUCUGGGUGUAAGAUAUUACCAUUGUCCUUCUGUGCAC
rnacentral:lncRNA from 1 species